GUGGGGCGGUGGUGACGGAGCGAGGGGGCCGGCUCCGCUUGAGAGGCAGCCGCAUCCGGAGGGGGAAGGCAGGGCCCGGCCGCGGCGGCAGGGAACCAGGGCGGUAGCCGCGAGGGGAGAGCGGGCGAGGAGGAGCCGGGUUGGGCCGCGCCGCGCCGCGCCGCCGCUCUGUCCCCGCGGGCGGCCGGGAUGGAUCACCACCAGCCCGCCAGCCGCUACCAAGUGCAAUCAGUCAGCAUUACAACAGAGGAGAGGCAGACUCAGCUUACGCAAGUAAUGAGAUUUAUGCAAAACACACAAAACCUUCUGAAGCUUCACAAUGAAGAUGAUCCUCCAGAGUCAACUGUUGAAGAGCCAUCCACUUCGACAGAGACUGCACAAAAUUCUCAACCAGCAGCUUUAUCUGAAGCAGAUGUUUCUCCUCCACCUUAUUGUAGUAUUGCUGUAGAAGCAGCUGCAGCCUCAGAAACACCUAAUGAAUUUUACCCUGUACCACCUCCAUAUAGUGUAGCUACCUCUCUUCCUACUUAUGAUGAAGCAGAGAAAGCCAAAGCUGCAGCAAUGGCAGCUGCUGCAGCAGAAGCUGCCCAAAGACACGGCCAGUUUAGGGAGUCUAGGAGUCUGUUUGAUGAAAUAUUCCUCAGUCCACCAGAGGAAGAAGAAUAUCCACCUCGGGAUGACUUCAGUGAUGCAGAUCAACUUAGAGUUGGCAAUGAUGGCAUCUUCAUGUUGGCAUUUUUCAUGGCAUUUAUUUUCAACUGGAUUGGAUUUUGUUUAUCCUUCUGUAUAACUAACACCAUAGCAGGAAGGUAUGGUGCAAUCUGUGGAUUUGGCCUAUCGCUGAUCAAAUGGAUUCUCAUUGUACGGUUCUCAGACUACUUUACUGGAUAUUUCAAUGGACAGUACUGGCUUUGGUGGAUAUUUCUUGUACUUGGUCUCCUCCUGUUCUUCCGAGGAUUUGUCAAUUACCUUAAAGUCCGAAACAUGUCUGAAAGCAUGGCAGCUGCUCAUAGAACAAGAUUUUUCUUCUUGUAUUAGAGAUCCUCCAGUUCAGCCACUCUGGUCUCCAAAGCCCGUAUGCAGUCUGAGGGCCAGCAGCUCCUUGCAAUGAAUGCACACACAUGCCACCCACCCAUAAGGUUUUCCCAGAAUGAGUCAGAAAGAAGAUAAACUGAGGUCAAAACAUACAGAGGAGAACUUCAGCCUACUCUGUGGAGCCUCUGCCUACGUUGUCCCCAGGAUUCCAUACCAUUAAGUGAAGCAUUCUUGGAGGCUGGGCUCCUCUGCCAGAUUGUAUAUCCCAUGAUGAAGCAUAAUCUCCCCUCUUGCUGAGCCACUGCAUGCAUCAUAGGAGUCCCUGGCUCUGAUGGAUGAUGGCAGAUGUAGUCCAGCUGGGGAACCCAGUCCAUAGAGGAUAAUGGGGGUAUGAAGCACCGAAAUUACAGCCCCUAUGAUGCAUUGUGGCAGCAUUUCUGAACUGAAGAUUUUCAAUGAAAAAAUCAAAAUUUUCUAUGCAAGCAGCUGGUUUAUGUCUGUCACAAGCAAUGGAAGGACAUUUCCGAGCUGGAAAUUACUGAAAGGAUCCAGUGCUGAUGGCUUUUGGAGCUGCCAAUCCAGAGAGCAGCUUUUGGCUCCUGCUGAGUACAGUAUGUCUGCAGUUUGACCAUUUAUCUCACUUUUUACAUACUUGAGCUGAAAAAAAAAAAAAGGAUUGUGCAAACACUCACAGCUCAUUCCCUCACACCUCUUCCUCCCCACCCUCUCCUUAUCAAGUAUUGCAGCAGCACUAAAAUGUGUCAAAUAAGCUGAAUGAAGCUGUCUAGUUUUGAGAUAUUAACAGGGAAUUACAUCAUGGUUAAAAUGUAUGACUUUGAAAUUAUCAUUGGCUAAUGAUUAUGUGAAAAAACAAUAAAACUCUCCCAACCACAAUGGGCAAUGCCAGACUAAAUUACAGUUAAAUGCUUUAGGCCCAAAUUUUCAAACUUAGGUGCCUGAAGAUGGGCAUCUAAAGCCAAUUAGGCAUUUGAGUACGUGAACUGAUGUUCAGAGGUGCUGAGCUUAAGGUGCUUAAGAGCAGCUGGUGAUCAGCUCAUCUGUGGGGGAAGGGGGGAAAUAUCAGACCAUGUAUUUAGAUGCCUAAAUAUGGGUUUAGGUGCCUAACUUCAGGCAUCCAGCUUAGAAAAUGUUGGCCUUCAGACUAUCUGGGGCUAAAGGAGAGUACCUCCAGCUUCUAAGCGGCAAGGAAAAAGUGAAAUAUAUAUUCCAGGAUUUUGCUGCUGGGUGUAGAAGAAGAAGAGAUCAGAAUUAACAACAGGGAGGCAACGUCUCCACACCAAGUACAUUCUGUUUAACUUGGCCUAUCGCAGAUAGUUCUACAGAGGCAGCACACCCUGCUUCCAUUGGUUCAGUAGAAGGUCAGGAAUUUUUGAACCAGACUGUAGUGAGAUUGAAGGAGAUCUGCUAAAAUAAAUGCUGUUACUGUUUGUUCUACCUUUUUUAUUAAAUUUUAAAUUGCUUCUUAACGUUCCUUCGGCUUAAAGAGCCCUUGUUUGUCUGCCCAGUCAUAUAAAACAAGAGUAAUCUUGGCUGUUUAAUCUCUAUGAUAUAGUUCUUUAUGCAUUCUUCUCAUUCUCAGUCUCUCCCAUGCCCUUUGUUAAAGCCACUUCAGCUUCAACCAGUUGUUCCUCUCCAUCACAGUCUUCGUUUCUUCUCUCUCUGCCACUACGGUUAUUCAGUAAAAGUAUGUUUAUACAAGGAGGAAUGCUAUCUUCCUGCCCUGGUCAUUUUAGCUCACCUGUUGGUCAAAACCAUUCACAUCCGCCUGCUUCUCAGACGCCAUGGAGACUGCAUGUAAAGCUGAAAUGAGGUGACAAAAACAUCAUAAAAAGGUCUGUUUGCUUCAAGUCAGAUAUUGAGGAACUCCUGAUAUGUAGCCACCAGGUAAGUGGAAGUAAACAUCCUUCUGACUAUACAGGAUAAAGAAAGCUCACAAUAAUGUCUCUUGUUUCUUAUCUUUAGUCUUCAAUGAGGUGUCACCAGAUGUCAGGAACUGGAAUGAGCUUCACCCUCCUCCACCUCCCGCCCCUUUUCACUGGCAUAUUAUACCAGCUCAACUGAUAUAUCAACUGAGUAAAGGUGUAGCGUAUGUCAUGUUUGACAGAGAUGAAAUACCCAUUUAUAAUUUCUUUAAUCAAUGCUUUCUUUCUCUUCUACUGAUAGGCCGUGGAGAUAGUCAAAACAACUGCUAUGUUUUGCAGAAGCAGUGGGAACUAAACCAGCCUACUUACACCACCACAUACCUCUUCGAGUUGCUGUUCAGAUACACAUGUAAAUAGUGUGACAUAAUAUUUGUAAAUACAGAGAAAGAAUGAUGAAAGUUCAAGUCCACCGAUGUCUACUAUACCCUGGACUAGUGUAUAGAUUUCAGGUAGGACUGUACUGAAGAUCCCAGUAAGAAAGGAAUAGUUUAGCUCACGUUAAGUACUAAAAUAAUGGAAAGACUCAUUCACGAAUUAACUAUUUGCAGAUGUACAGAGAAACAUUUGGGAAUAAUUUGAUUAAUAUUGUUUGCUCAGUGCUGCUGCAGGACAAACAAUGGGAGAGAAAUUAUUUGAAUAAUUUGACAAUUGAUGGAAACAACCAGUCUAUUUACUAUUUAUCCUAAAGCAUGUUUUUACUGAAUAGAAAAGCUCUCUAAAGCCUGGAUCUUAUAACUGGAUAUUUGUGGGUGUGCUUAGCCCAUGCAGAGCCAACUGGGCUUCAUGCAAGUGCAAGGAUCUGUCCAUGUGGAUUCAAUUGCAGGGUCAGGCCUUGGCCUCCCUCAGUGUCUGAGCAAGUGGGAUUGCUUGCUUCAUGAUAUACGUGUGGAACUUUUGCAGAGAAGACUGAGGCUCAGUUAAUACAGUGUUGAGGGCAAUAUAGAUAAAAAGUUGGUAUUUUUAUCUUAUAUCUACCCCAGCUGCAUAAAGGUUGUAAGUAAAACUGUCAAUAAUCAAAAAAUGUUCUGUGCCAUAGAGCCCACACAAACCUGGUAGAAUAUCAACCAUCCUUUGAAAUGAUCAACCAGGGAGAAUUCCACUGACAUGCAGAUAUUUACUUCCAACUGCCACUGAGACCUUAGCUAUAGCAUAUCGCCAGCAGCAAGGCAGCAGCAUCCGACCCCUCCCCAGGCUCUCCCUCAAUUAAACUGGAGACUCCGCCUUUUAUAUUUCCUGUUCUCCCCUCUGCUUCCAGUGCAAGGGGCAGGCCCGGCCUGGCUCUAUCCACCAGGGGCAUGAUUCCUCCCUGUUUGUGUCAGAGAGAAGCCCUUCAGCCUCACUACAAACUCCUUUCUCUUAUCAACUCAGCUAAUUAUUAUUGCGAUCUCCUUAGCAGGGAAAGAGGUGUGCAGUGGUUGAGGACUUUAUUCCUUUACUAUGUAAGGGGACUGUUGCCUGCUUACUAACAUUCAGUGGGGGUGUUUUGGUUGGCUAGCUCCCAGAACGAAAAGGGGGAAGGGUCGAUGGGGAAUCAGGACCCUGAGACUGACAGCCCCCAGGAACAAUGGGGAGAGGCCAAUGCUCCAGGUCAGCCUGAAUGACAGGGUGGGCAGGCUAAUCAGGGAGUCAGGAGGCCAGGGAGGUCCCGUCCUCCAUGGGAGCUGGACUUGCCUGGGUCAGACAGAGUGGGGCCGAGCUAAGGAGAAAGCAGGGGCCUGAGCUGAGCUGAGCUGAGCUGGGGAGCAGAGCUGUGCCAGAUCCAGAGAGAGCAGACCCUGUCCUAGGAGCAGAGCUGCAGCCCCAAAGCCAGAGGCACAGCCCAGAGAGAGCAGGCUUGCCCUGGGAGCAGAGCUGCAGCAACCAGAGCCAGAGGGGCCAGAAAAGCAGCCCACGAAGCAGGUCAGUGCUGGGAGCAGAGUCACAGAAGCAGCCUGCAGAGCAGACCUGUCCUGGGAGCAGAGCUGCAGCAACCAGAGGCAGAGGGGCCAAAGAAGCAGCCCAGGGAGCUGGAGGCAGAGCAGCAGCAGCGCUGCGACAGAGUGGUGGAGCUGGGGCUGGAGCAGUCCGGAGCUGGGUGCGGUGAGCAGCUGGGCAGAGCGAGGGGGACCCUGGGCAGCGGGCCCAGCACAGGGAGACACCUCAGCCAAGGGGCUCUGCAGGCCAGGCUUGGAUCCUAACCCCGACAGGGCGGGGGCGACACUGGGAAGAUGUGUCCUACCACUUAGAGCCUGAGAGCGUGUGGCCACCACCAGAGCAAGUGUCCAACCCACAGCAUCCCUGCAGCACAGCCAGGGCCUGAGAAGAAGGCCUGGGACUUACAAGGAACAGACUCUGAACUGCUCUGACAUUCCAGAGACACUGUUUGUGAUGUUCCCUGCCACAGAGCGGGGUGAUGUGUUUCCUUUAACCUUUCCCAUUUUUCCUUAUUCUUUUUAAAAUUAAUUGUUGAUUAAAUAACUUGCAUUUGCUUUAA